rnacentral:tRNA from 1 species
GGUUCCUUCGUCUAUCGGUUUAGGACGCGACCCUCUCAAGGUCGAGAGACGAGUUCGACUCUCGUAGGAACCG